ensembl:lncRNA
CUCGCCUGCAUUAUUUUAUGGAAGCUGAAUAGGAUGUUUCUUGAGCUGAGUCAACACUUCAAUUUGACGGCAAAACACUCGUUUUAAGGAAACACAGCGAAUGGAAAGAUGGUUAAGUCAGCUAAUGUUAGCUCGUUCACUUCGACAAUACAAAAAAGAAAAAAAGCCUGCACAAAACACAUGCUCGGAAAACCGGAGAAACAAUUACGUUUAGCACCAAGUUCGCCACAAUCAUUGACGUUAGUGCAACAACUAAAGAAAUGUGUUUUAUCAUCCACACUGAUGAUGGUAGGACAUUUGUUUUGUUUUAUAGAUAUUUUGAAAGUUUGUGUCUUGACUCUGAGAAAAAAUGUGUGUUUUUCAGAACUUCUAUUUGCUGAAACAUCCAAGAACUCUGCUGACUUCUCAGACCUGACAGAGUUUGGUGCAUCCUCAAAUCAGACAGAUGGUGUUACUCUCACAACUUGUGAUUCUCCCCGGCCCGCAGUGAUCAGCUGAUGUACUACAAAUAUUUCCUCAUUUCUUGGAUGUCAAAAGACUUAUUUUGCAAGACUUCUCACUGAUGUUUGGAGCAGAGGUUGCUUCAAGGUUCCUGGAAAAAAUGGAACACCAGUUUUAAAAAAAAAAAAAAAAGUCAUCCAGAAGGCCAGGAACCUUAAAGAGACUGCUCUCCUAAAACAGCACCUAAAGCUGUACUGAAUGAUGAUCCAGAAUGGGACAGUGGCAUGGCUUCUCAACUUGUCCUGCUGGAUCUUCUUACUCCAAAAUCAGCUGGAAGAAAGCGGCCCAAGAAGAUCAGUGUUGGAGAGGCAACAUAUUGUAAUAGUCAUGCCAAAGUCUUGAUGAUCAUAUCCUGACCACUAAAGGAAACUGUCAACCAUAUCUUCUUGCCUCAGGGAUUUCAAAAGCACAGGUUUCCACCUUUUACAUUGUCUUGGACAGAAAAGUUUUGCCUUGUCAGUCAUGUACAUCCUUGGGUACUUUUGAUGAGACUAUGUCAAAAAUUGAUAUAGGUACAACUGAAGAAACUCCAAAAGUCAAAGAACUGAGAGCAAGGCUGUUGAACAAGCAGUAAUUGUCUUAUUCAACCAAAAUGUUAAGUUGUUUCCUCUGCACUUCAUCCUUUGGUUCAGCUUUGCAUUUGUUCAGGCACCUCAAACCAAUUCAUGGAAUGUGUCCUGGUAUCACAAGUUGUUCUUUGUUUCUUCAUCUGAUGUAUAAGUGUCUUCCUCAGGUUACACAAUCCUAUACUGCACUACUUUUUUUUAUAAACCCAUAGGCUUGAUUUUAUAUAAUGCAGUGAUGUGUUGUUGGUAAUUUUUUAUACAAUUUUACUAGCUGGCUACAUGUAUUAAAUGUAAAUGUUUUGCUGUUAGAUUUUACAGUAUUUUAUGACAGCAAUUAUUUUCAAAGUGCA